GACUCGGUGGCGGAUGGUUCGCGUCUGCGUUGCAUUGGCAAGCAUAUAUAUCAUUAUGCAGAAGUCGCGUGUUCGAUUCACGCCCAAGUCG